AUUGAACGCUGGCGGCAGGCUUAACACAUGCAAGUCGAACGGUAGCAGGAGAAAGCUUGCUUUCUUGCUGACGAGUGGCGGACGGGUGAGUAAAUGCUUGGGAAUCUGGCCUAUGGAGGGGGGAUAACGACGGGAAACUGUCGCUAAUACCGCGUAUUAUCGGAAGAUGAAAGUGCGGGACUGAGAGGCCGCAUGCCAUAGGAUGAGCCCAAGUGGGAUUAGGUAGUUGGUGGGGUAAAGGCCUACCAAGCCUGCGAUCUCUAGCUGGUCUGAGAGGAUGACCAGCCACACUGGAACUGAGACACGGUCCAGACUCCUACGGGAGGCAGCAGUGGGGAAUAUUGCGCAAUGGGGGGAACCCUGACGCAGCCAUGCCGCGUGAAUGAAGAAGGCCUUAGGGUUGUAAAGUUCUUUCGGUAUUGAGGAAGGUUGAUGUGUUAAUAGCACAUCAAAUUGACGUUAAAUACAGAAGAAGCACCGGCUAACUCCGUGCCAGCAGCCGCGGUAAUACGGAGGGUGCGAGCGUUAAUCGGAAUAACUGGGCGUAAAGGGCACGCAGGCGGUUAUUUAAGUGAGGUGUGAAAGCCCCGGGCUUAACCUGGGAAUUGCAUUUCAGACUGGGUAACUAGAGUACUUUAGGGAGGGGUAGAAUUCCACGUGUAGCGGUGAAAUGCGUAGAGAUGUGGAGGAAUACCGAAGGCGAAGGCAGCCCCUUGGGAAUGUACUGACGCUCAUGUGCGAAAGCGUGGGGAGCAAACAGG
rnacentral:rRNA from 1 species